CCUUAUCAGUUUUCCAGCCAGC
rnacentral:miRNA from 14 species